CCACACAGGUCCCUCUUAAGUGUCCAUACUAAAGCAAGAGUGUAACGGCACUCUCAGCAUCAAAUAGUAAAAGCGCUGUUUAGUUAAUCCUCCCCUCUCACCAUAAUGCAAGCUGCAUUCGUACCAACUCCAAUCAUACGAACUGCAAGCAGGGGAAUACUCCAAUCUCCCGAAUGGGACCCAUACGGGUACUUCACUUCCCAAUCAGUAAACUCACG